rnacentral:lncRNA from 1 species
CCUGAAAGCAGAGUAUGUGAUUAAUCUCCCCAAUCAGAAGUUGAAAAGAAAGUAUGAUAUGGUAAUACUGUAUUCCAAUUGGCAUUGUGGAUGGCUAAUAGAAUGAUGGAAGUCAUGUGUAAUCAUGUAUUCAAUCAGCAUUUGCGAAGAAACUACUGUAUGCUGGCCCUUAAGGCAGUAUGGAUGAGGGAGAAUUGAAAGCCACAGUACUUGCCCUUGGGUUGCCAAGACUUAGGGGUGAAACAAACGAGUUAAGAGAUAUUUACAGUAAAAGGUGAAGGGUUCUUUAAUAAAAGUGAGCACAAGCUGCUGUGGAACACAUAACAGAUCCAUCUCACUCAGACCCAAGGGGCAUACAGGAGAGCUUCCUGGAGGAAGUAACACCCGAGCUGAGAUAGCAAGAGUAAGCAGGUGCUAGUCUAGUAUAAAAGAAGAUGUAUUCACUUCUAUGGCUGCUGUGACAAAUUACCACAAGCUUGUUUGCUUGAAGCAACAGAAAUGAGUUCUCUCACAGUUCUGAAGCUGGAAGUCUGAAACCAGUAUCCCAGGGCCGAAGCUGGCAGAGCUGCGCUUCCUCUGGGGGCUCUCAGGAGCAGCUCCUCUUGCCUCUUUUAGUUUCUGGGGGCUGCCAGCACUCCUUGCCUCUUCCCAUAUCACUCCAAUUUCUGCCUCCGUCUUCACAAUGCCUUCUCCUCCAGGGGAGGAAAGACUUUCUCUCCCCGCUCCUGUGUUCAAUAACUGUGUCUAUGAAAUAAACUGACAACAAGAAGAUUAACAGGAGAAAAAGGACUGAAAGACCCAGCUGCCUCUUUCUAAACAAAAUUUAUUUUAUCAAGGAAGCACUAUGUUCUAUCAGCUCUUGAGAAG